AUUGAACACUGGCGGCAGGCCUAACACAUGCAAGUCGAAUGGUAACAGGAAACAGCUUGCUGUUUCGCUGACGAGUGGCGGACGGGUGAGUAAUGUCUGGGAAACUGCCUGAUGGAGGGGGAUAACUACUGGAAACGGUAGCUAAUACCGCAUAACGUCGCAAGACCAAAGAGGGGGACCUUCGGGCCUCUUGCCAUCAUAUGUGCCCAGAUGGGAUUAGCUAGUAGGUGGGGUAACGGCUCACCUAGGCGACGAUCCCUAGCUGGUCUGAGAGGAUGACCAGCCACACUGGAACUGAGACACGGUCCAGACUCCUACGGGAGGCAGCAGUGGGGAAUAUUGCACAAUGGGCGCAAGCCUGAUGCAGCCAUGCCGCGUGUAUGAAGAAGGCCUUCGGGUUGUAAAGUACUUUCAGCGGGGAGGAAGGGAGUAAAGUUAAUACCUUUGCUCAUUGACGUUACCCGCAGAAGAAGCACCGGCUAACUCCGUG
rnacentral:rRNA from 1 species